rnacentral:rRNA from 1 species
GACGAACGCUGGCGGCGUGCUUAACACAUGCAAGUCGAACGCUGAAGCUCAGCUUUUGUUGGGUGGAUGAGUGGCGAACGGGUGAGUAACACGUGAGUAACCUGCCUCCUUCUUUGGGAUAACGCCCGGAAACGGGUGCUAAUACUGGAUAUUCACUGGUCUUCGCAUGGGGGUUGGUGGAAAGGGUUUUUCUGGUGGGGGAUGGGCUCGCGGCCUAUCAGCUUGUUGGUGGGGUGAUGGCCUACCAAGGCUUUGACGGGUAGCCGGCCUGAGAGGGUGGCCGGUCACAUUGGGACUGAGAUACGGCCCAGACUCCUACGGGAGGCAGCAGUGGGGAAUAUUGCACAAUGGGCGCAAGCCUGAUGCAGCGACGCCGCGUGAGGGAUGGAGGCCUUCGGGUUGUGAACCUCUUUCGCUCAUGGUCAAGCCGCAACAAUGGUUGUGGUGAGGGUAGUGGGUAAAGAAGCGCCGGCUAACUACGUG